UACGUAGGGUGCAAGCGUUGUCCGGAAUUAUUGGGCGUAAAGGGCUCGUAGGCGGUCCGUCACGUCGGCUGUGAAAACCCGGGGCUCAACCCCGGGCCUGCAGUCGAUACGGGCGGACUAGAGUUCGGCAGGGGAGACUGGAAUUCCUGGUGUAGCGGUGAAAUGCGCAGAUAUCAGGAGGAACACCGGUGGCGAAGGCGGGUCUCUGGGCCGAUACUGACGCUGAGGCGCGAAAGCCAGGGGAGCGAACGGG
rnacentral:rRNA from 1 species